GUGUGAAAUAAUCAAUAGGUGUGCUUUUUCUUGGGAAUACUACUUCUGCUCUUGGCAUUCCUCAGUGGUCUGUAGUUCUUUGUGAGGACUGAGUCCCUGGCCCAUGUUUAAGCAGGCAGUGAUGCUGGUGAUGCUGGUGAUGCUGUUGAUGCUGGUGAGACUUUAUGGGUGGAGCGUCUGUCACUCCUAGAAGACAGUCUCACAGCGACUCUCUAAUCCUUUGGCUCCUACAAUCUUUCUGCUCUCUUUUCUGCCAUGUUUCCCGAGCCUCACGUAUAAGAGUUGUUUUGUAGAUGUAGCCGCUGAGACUGGACCCACAGCUCUCUAUUUUGAUCGGUUGUGGGUUUCUGUAGUGGUCUUCAUCUGUUGCAAAGAGAGGUUUUCUUGAUGAGGGGCGAGAACUGCACUUCUCUGUGGACACAGAGCAAACAGAGUGCAGUUAGGGAUGAGGCUGGUUUAGUCAGGUGGUGGCUGUAGGUUCUCCUCCAAGAUCCACGACGUCACUAGCCCCAGAGAGUGGCCUGGGUUUCCGUCAGUAGGCAUGGCUUUCCUCUUGUUGAUCGCAUAGGCUUUUUCUUUGUUUGUUUGUUUUUGUUUUUUAGAAACAGGGUUUCUCUGUGUGCCCUGCCUGUCCUGGAACUUGCUGUGUAGACCAGGCCCAAACAAGAUCCUUCCAGUUCUGCCUUCCAACCACUGAGAUUACAGAUGUGUGCCUCGUAGCCCAAGUUAUCCUCAAACUCACUCUGUAGUUGAAGAUAAGUUUGAGUCCCUGAUCUUCCUCCCACCACCUCCCAAAGUCUGGGAUUAAAGGCCCAGUUUGAGAAAGUUGUAAUCUACAAUGUAUUCACUUCACGAUGGCACAGGAUACUCAUUUGCAGGUAACAUGCUCUUUGCUCCAAUAGUAACUAAGACAUUUGCGACACCUGGUGGACAUAUGGUGGUCCUGCACACAAUUUAAGUAAGAGUGUUCGAAAGGGCCUGGUUAAAUCAAAGGACACAAAGGAGCACUGUUCUAAGAAGCCUGUGCCAGCUUGGUGAGGCAAUGGCUUUGCAGUUUUACUGGGAUGUGGCCCUAGGGGGUUACUCUCUGUUUUUAGAAUGUAACACACUUCUUUUCUUCUUUGUUACAUACUGAUGUCUAGCGGGUAAGUAGCCCAGCUGGAAAAGGUCGCCUAGAAGUUGUGAGCACAGAGGAUAGGUCGGGUCCAGCUUCGGCAUCUCCCAUCGCACCACUCACCCUCUGAAGUUCUCAGUCCCUGGAUGCCUGUCAUGGACAUUUGGCCUGUUCUGUCUCCUGACCAGAGUGGACCCCUCCUGACAGCCAGGCAGCUCAUUUCCAGCCAAGUGAAGACAUCUGAUAUGGCCAGCUUCCUCCAGACUCCAAACCUGUCUCCAUGUGCCCAGAUGGGGUCCUCUGCCCGUGUCUUGGGAUCAACUAGGAAGCUUCCAGGAGCCCUGAACUGAUGCCCGAAUCCACCUUCAAGGAGAUUCUCAUUCUGGGAG